CCUAUGCAAAUAGGGUUAAAAGCAGCAGAUAGCCUGGUUCCUAUAGGUCGUGGUCAACGAGAACUUAUAAUCGGGGACCGACAAACUGGAAAAACUGCUAUUGCUAUCGAUACCAUAUUAAACCAAAAGCAACUGAACUCAAGGGCCACCUCUGAGAGUGAGACAUUGUAUUGUGUUCGGGGACCGACAAACUGGAAAAACUGCUAUUGCUAUCGAUACCAUAUUAAACCAAAAGCAACUGAACUCAAGGGCCACUUCUGAGAGUGAGACAUUGUAUUGUGUCUAUGUAGCUAUUGGAUAGAAACGCUCAACUGUGACAUAGUUAGUUCAAAUUAUGUCAGAAGCGAAUGCUUUGUAAUAUUCUAUUCUUGUAGCAGCCACCGCUUUGGAUCCUGCUCCUCUACAAUUUUUGGCCCCAUAUUCUGGGUGUGCCAUGGGGGAAUAUUUCCGGCCAGCGCUUCAGAUCCUGCUCCUCUACAAUUUUUGGCCCCAUACUCUGGGUGUGCCAUGGGGGAAUAUUUCUGCGAUAAUGGAAUGCAUGCAUUGAUAAUCUAUGAUGAUCUUAGUAAACAGGCGGUAGCAUAUCGACAAAUGUCAUCUAAGUUGCUCUGACAGGGGUACGAGUGUCCGACACAGUGCAUAUCUAGAGGUCGAAUCCUUUGAGAUAGAAAUUUUAAGAUUCGGGGAUACGGAUCUAGAACCGACACGGGUGCGGGGAUCCGGCUAAAAAUCUUUAAUGUUAAUAUCUUUAAUAUUUAGAGAUUUAAACCAACUGAAAUAUUAUUUAUUGAUUAUAAUUGUAAAAUAUAUUCUGAAUGAGUAAAAUUUUCUUGGAGUUUGCAAAUACUUAUAAUGUAUUUUAUUUUAUAAUUUAAAUUCAUUCUUCAAUACUUAUCUUAUCUUUUAACCUAUUUACUCACUGGCGUGGAAAAAUCUAUAUAGACGUUGCUUUUUCAACGGUAGGUGAAAAAGUUGGUGAAACAUUGAGGCACAAUUUUGAAAAUUCUCAUAAAGCAGCUGGAUCAGAUGGACGAAAUGGGAGAAUGUCCAUAAUGAAAGCUGGAAAUGUUGGAAAAAAAGAAAAGAAAAAUGUUGGCCAGGAUCGUGCAAGUCAAAUAAAGGAUCCUACUUUCCUACUUUUGCUAUUGAUGUGGGAUCUACUAAGAAAAAAGAUGACAAAAGUGCGGGCCAUGUACAUGGGCCACUUCAUGUUAAAGCUCCUGUUGAUGACAAUUUGAAAAAAGAUGACCGUGUUUGUCAAUUUUCAAAAACAAAAAUAAUUGAUGGCAAAUUGGACCGUGUUUGUCAAUUUUCAACAACAAAAAUAAUUGAUGGCAAAUUGAAAAAAGAGGACAAUGCAGCGGGCCCUCUUGAUCUUUUGACUAAGCGUCAUGAUGCCAAUGUACAUCAAAAUGCACAUGGAAAAGUAAGUGGGCCAGUUUGUAGUAUUUCUCUUUUCUAUUUUUUGCCAAAAAAAACCAAUGUGGAAGCUAAGUUGCUCGGACACGGCACUUUUGGUGCCAUACCCGUAUCGACACGACACUGACACGGGUAAGGGUGUGGGAUCUGCGUCGGACCCGGUCAAAAUAGAUCGGGUGCGUUGACCAAAAAUUUGGAAAAAUUGAUUUUCUUAAGUAAAGAUUUGAAGAGAUGGGAAACGAAAUACCUUCAAUUUUGCUGCUAUGUAGUAAUUUAUACUAGUUCUUUGUCUCCUUUGAAGCUUUUUGUCUUCAAUCUUUGAGUUUCCAUGCUGCAAGUUUCUGAAAUCAAGAUCUGUGUUUUUUUUAGGGCAGAAAAGUUGUUGAUGGGUGGUGGACUACUGGACUGAGGGAUAUUGGGAAGGGCUCGAAUGGGUGUGUCGUACUGAAAAAAACCCGAGACAUGGAGAAGGUUUUGUUGAGGAAGAUGAUGAAGAACAGGGCGCAGAGAAGAAUGACGUCCAUGUGCAAUUUACUGUACAUUGGAUGCUUAGACAAAAGAUCAAGAGGGCCCGCUGCAUUGUCCUCUUUUUCCAAUUUGCCAUCAAUUAUUUGUUGUUGAAAUUGACAAACACGGUCAUUUUUUUUCAAAUUGUCAUCAUGACAAGAAAGCUUUAACAUGAAGUGGCCCAUGUACAUGGGCCACUUCAUGUUAAAGCUUUCUUGUCAUGAUGACAAUUUGAAAAAAAAUGACCGUGUUUGUCAAUUUCAACAACAAAUAAUUGAUGGCAAAUUGGAAAAAGAGGACAAUGCAGCGGGCCCUCUUGAUCUUUUGACUAAGCAUCAAAUGUACAGCAAAAUGCACAUGGAAGUCAUUCUUCUCUGCGCCCUGUUCUUCAUCUAUCUUCGUCAACAAAACCUUCUCCAUGUCUCUGUAUUUAAAUUAUAAAAUAAAAUACAUAUUAAGUAUUUGCAAACUCCAAUGAAAUUUUACUCAUUCAGAAUAUAUUUUUACAAUUAUAAUCAAUAAAUAAUAUUUUAGUUGGUUUAAAUCUCUAAAUAUCAAAGAAAUUAACAUUAAAGAUAUUAUAAUUAAAAGAAUAGACUACACUUUAAUAUAUUUUGUGUAACUUGUAGGAGAAUAUGAGAAUGAAAGAAAAUCAAGAAAUGGCGCCUACAACUUGAGAAUAAAAAGGAAAUCAUUACUUUACAAGAUAUUGGUAAGUAUUCCAUAAAAUGAUAAUUUAGAGAUAUUUUUAUUUUUAUAUUUAAAUUAUUUUUAGCCGGAACCCCGCACACGUGUCGGUUCUAGGAUCCGUCUCCCCGAAUCUUAAAAUUUCUAUCUCAAAUGAUCCGACCUCUAGAUCCGCACCCGUGUCGGACACCCGUACCCGUGUCAGAGCAACAAUAUAUUUUGUAUAACUUGUAGGAGAAUAUGAGAAUGGAAGAAAAUCAAGAAAUGGCGCCUACAACAACAACAACAACAACAACCCAGUAUAAUCCCACUUAGUGGGGUCUGGGGAGGGUANNNNNNNNNNNNNNNNNNNNNNNNNNNNNNNNNNNNNNNNNNNNNNNNNNNNNNNNNNNNNNNNNNNNNNNNNNNNNNNNNNNNNNNNNNNNNNNNNNNNNNNCCUACCCUUGGGUAGAGAGGCUGUUUCCAAAUAGACCCCCGACAUCCUUCCCUCCAAGAACUUCCCACCUUGCUCUUGGGGAGACUCGAACUCACAACCCAUCGGUUGGAAGUGGGGGUUACUUACCAUUAGAGCAACCCCUCUUGGAAAUGGCGCCUACAACUUGAGAAUAAAAAGGAAAUCAUUACUUUACAAGUUAUUGGUAAGUAUUUUCAUAAAAUCAUAAUUUAGAGAUAUUUUUAUUUUUAUUUUUAAAAUAUUUUUAGCCGGAUCCCGCACCCGUGUCGGUUCUAGGAUCCGUAUCCCCGAAUCUUAAAAUUUCUAUCUCAAAGGAUCCGACCUCUAGAUCCUCACCCGUGUCGGACACCCGUACCCGUGUCAGAGCAACUUAGCGUGGCAGCAAAAUAUUAGAAAUUAUAUCAAUUAACCUAAAUCCUAAUUAGAGUCUUAGUCGUCUUCUUCAGUCAUUCUUCUCUGCGCCUUGUUCUUCAUCAUCUUACUCAACAAAACCUUCUCCAUGUCUCUGGUUUUUUCCAGUACGACACACCCAUUCGAGCCCUUCCCAAUAUCCCUCAGUCCAGUAGUCCACCACCCAUCAACAACUUCUCUGCCCUAAAAAAACAACACAGAUCUUGAUUUCAGAAACUUGCAGCAUGGAAACUCAAAGAUUGAAGACAAAGCUUCAAAGGAGACAAAAGAACUAGUAUAAAUUACUACAUAGCAGCAAAAUUGAAGGUAUUUCGUUUCCCAUCUCUUCAAAUCUUUACUUAGGAAAAUCAAUUUUUCCAAAUUUUUGGUCAACGCCCCCGAUCUAUUUUGACCAGAUCUGACGCAGAUCUCACACCCUUACCCGUGUCAGUGUCGUGUCGACACGGGUACUACACCGAUAGUGCCCUGUCGGAGCAACUUAGAAUGUCAUUAUUGUUACGCCGACCACCAGGUCGUGAGGCUUUCCUACGGGAUGUUUUCUAUUUACAUUCCUGUCUUUUAGAAAGAGUGGCCAAACGAUCGGACCAGACAGGCGCAGGUAGCUUGACCGCCUUACCCGUCAUUGAAACACAAGCUGGAGACGUAUCGGCCUAUAUUCCCACCAAUGUGAUCCCCAUUACUGAUGGACAAAUCUGUCUCUUAGAAAGAGCGGCUAAACGAUCGGACCAGACAGGCGCAGGUAGCUUGACCGCCUUACCCGUCAUUGAAACACAAGCUGGAGACGUAUCGGCCUAUAUUCCCACCAAUGUGAUCCCCCAUUACUGAUGGACAAAAUCUAUUUGGAAACAGAGCUCUUUUAUCGCGGAAUUAGACCGGCAAUUAAUAUCAGCUUAUCUGUCAGUCGCGUCGGGUCUACCGCUCAGUUGAAAACUAUGAAACAAGUCUGCGGUAGUUCAAAACUAGAAUUGGCACAAUAUCGCGAAGUGGCCGCCCUUGCUCAAUUUGGCUCAGACCUUGAUGCUGCAUUACUGAAUAGAGGUGCAAGGUUGACAGAAGUACCGAACAACCACAAUAUGCACCACUGCCAAUUGAAAAACAAAUUCUAGUCAUUUAUGCAGCUGUCAAUGGAUUCUGUGAUCUAAUGCCACUAGACAGAAUUUCUCAAUAUGAGAGAGCCAUUCCAAAUAGUGUCAAACCAGAAUUACUACAAUCCUUUUUAGAAAAAGGUGACUUAACUAACGAAAGAAAGAUGGAACCAGAUACAUUCUUAAAGAAAGUGCUUUAGCUUUUAUUUAAUUCAAUACAAUGAAAGGAAAAAGGUCUCUUAGGGGUACCACAAAUAAUUGACUUACUAGUUCUUUUUCUAUCUAUGAAGUAGGACGAGUGUCCUACCUAAUUCAAUGCUAGGUAACCAAGUUAGUAUCCUAGCGGAGCUCUUGAAGGGGGGAACAUCCUAAUGGAUGAGUAUGAGCACGUUGUACAUCUCAUAUUA
rnacentral:lncRNA from 1 species